CAACGCGCAGAACCUACCAGCCUUUGACAUGGCAGGACGAUUUCUAGAGAUGGAUCUCUUCCAGCAAUGGACCUGCACACAGGUGCUGCAUGGCUGUCGUCAGCUCGUGUCGUGAGAUGUGGGUUAAGUCCCGCAACGAGCGCAACCCUCGCCUUUAGUUGCCAUCAUUCAGUUGGGCACUCUAAAGGGACUGCCGGUGAUAAGCCGCGAGGAAGGUGGGGAUGACGUCAAGUCCUCAUGGCCCUUACGGGCUGGGCUACACACGUGCUACAAUGGCGGUGACAGUGGGAUGCAAAGGGGCGACCCCUCGCAAAUCUCAAAAAGCCGUCUCAGUUCGGAUUGUACUCUGCAACUCGAGUGCAUGAAGUUGGAAUCGCUAGUAAUCGUGGAUCAGCAUGCCACGGUGAAUACGUUCCCGGGCCUU
rnacentral:rRNA from 1 species